rnacentral:rRNA from 1 species
AAAUUGAAGAGUUUGAUCAUGGCUCAGAUUGAACGCUGGCGGCAGGCCUAACACAUGCAAGUCGAACGGUAACAGGAAACAGCUUGCUGUUUCGCUGACGAGUGGCGGACGGGUGAGUAAUGUCUGGGAAACUGCCUGAUGGAGGGGGAUAACUACUGGAAACGGUAGCUAAUACCGCAUAACGUCGCAAGACCAAAGAGGGGGACCUUCGGGCCUCUUGCCAUCGGAUGUGCCCAGAUGGGAUUAGCUAGUAGGUGGGGUAACGGCUCACCUAGGCGACGAUCCCUAGCUGGUCUGAGAGGAUGACCAGCCACACUGGAACUGAGACACGGUCCAGACUCCUACGGGAGGCAGCAGUGGGGAAUAUUGCACAAUGGGCGCAAGCCUGAUGCAGCCAUGCCGCGUGUAUGAAGAAGGCCUUCGGGUUGUAAAGUACUUUCAGCGGGGAGGAAGGGGGUAAAGUUAAUACCUUUGCUCAU